rnacentral:rRNA from 1 species
CGCCCCCUACGGUGCUCAGCAGUGGGUCCUAUUUCACACUUUUUGAAACCCUGAUGCAGCGACGCCGCGUGAGUGAAGAAGUAUUUCGGUAUGUAAAGCUCUAUCAGCAGGGAAGAAGAAAGACGGUACCUGACUAAGAAGCCCCGGCUAACUACGUGCCAGCAGCCGCGGUAAUACGUAGGGGGCAAGCGUUAUCCGGAUUUACUGGGUGUAAAGGGAGCGUAGACGGCUGUGCAAGUCUGAAGUGAAAGCCCAGGGCUCAACCCUGGGACUGCUU